rnacentral:rRNA from 1 species
GGUCCGUAGGCGGUUUAGUAAGUCAGUGGUGAAAGCCCAUCGCUCAACGGUGGAACGGCCAUUGAUACUGCUAAACUUGAAUUAUUAGGAAGUAACUAGAAUAUGUAGUGUAGCGGUGAAAUGCUUAGAGAUUACAUGGAAUACCAAUUGCGAAGGCAGGUUACUACUAAUGGAUUGACGCUGAUGGACGAAAGCGUGGGUAGCGAACAGGAUUAGAUACCCUGGUAGUCCACGCCGUAAACGAUGGAUACUAGCUGUUGGAAGCAAUUUCAGUGGCUAAGCGAAAGUGAUAAGUAUCCCACCUGGGGAGUACGUUCGCAAGAAUGAAACUCAAAGGAAUUGACGGGGGCCCGCACAAGCGGUGGAGCAUGUGGUUUAAUUCGAUGAUACGCGAGGAACCUUACCAAGGCUUAAAUGUAGAUUGACCGGUUUGGAAACAGACUUUUCGCAAGACAAUUUACAAGGUGCUGCAUGGUUGUCGUCAGCUCGUGCCGUGAGGUGUCAGGUUAAGUCCUAUAACGAGCGCAACCCCUGUUGUUAGUUGCCAGCGAGUCAUGUCGGGAACUCUAACGAGACUGCCAGUGCAAACUGAGAGGAAGGUGGGGAUGACGUCAAAUCAUCACGGCCCUUACGCCUUGGGCUACACACGUGCUACAAUGGCCGGUACAGAGAGCAGCCACUGGGUGACCAGGAGCGAAUCUAU